UACGAGGGGGGCUAGCGUUGCUCGGAAUUACUGGGCGUAAAGCGCACGUAGGCGGCUUUCUAAGUCGGGGGUGAAAUCCUGGAGCUCAACUCCAGAACUGCCUUCGAUACUGGAGAGCUCGAGUCCGGGAGAGGUGAGUGGAACUGCGAGUGUAGAGGUGAAAUUCGUAGAUAUUCGGAAGAACACCAGUGGCGAAGGCGACUCGCUGGACAAGUAUUGACGCUGAGGUGCGAAAGCGUGGGGAGCAAACAGG
rnacentral:rRNA from 1 species